GUGAUGUACAGAAUCCUGGGACUAGC
rnacentral:piRNA from 2 species